UCCGACUUCUGGCCGGCAGUCUCGCCAGAACAUCUAACUGGCGACGAGGGUUGCGCUCGUUGCGGGACUUAACCCAACACCUCACGGCACGAGCUGACGACAGCCGUGCAGCACCUGUGGACGCUCCCUCACGGGUCCCUCAGCUUUCACCUCGGUACCACGUCCAUGUCAAGCCCUGGUAAGGUUCUUCGCUUAGCGUCGAAUUGAACCACACGCUCCCCCGCUUGUGCGGGCCCCCGUCAAUUCCUUUGAGUUUUAACCUUGCGGCCGUACUCCCCAGGCGGGACACUUAUCGCGUUAGCUCCGGCCCGCAACCGGUCUUGUUCCCGGCCGCAGACCUAGUGUCCAUCGUUUACGGCGUGGACUAC
rnacentral:misc_RNA from 1 species